rnacentral:rRNA from 1 species
AGUGGCGGACGGAUGAGUAACACGUAAGAAUUUGCCUUUAGGAGGGGGACAACAGCUGGAAACGGCUGCUAAUACCCCAUAUGCUUUCGAGUGAAAUGGAUUUCCGCCUGAAGAGAAGCUUGCGGCUGAUCAGCUUGUUGGUGAGGUAAUGGCUCACCAAGGCGACGAUCAGUAUCUGGUUUGAGAGGACGAUCAGACACACUGGAACUGAGACACGGUCCAGACUCCUACGGGAGGCAGCAGUGGGGAAUUUUCCGCAAUGGGCGAAAGCCUGACGGAGCAAUACCGCGUGAGGGAUGAAGGCCUAUGGGUUGUAAACCUCUUUUUUCAGGGAGGAACAAAAUGACGUGUACCUGAAGAAUAAGCAUCGGCUAACUCCGUGCCAGCAGCCGCGGUAAGACGGGGGAUGCAAGUGUUAUCCGGAAUCACUGGGCGUAAAGCGUCUGUAGGUGGUUAAGUAAGUCAACUUGUUAAAUCUUGAGGCUCAACCUCAAAAUCGCAGUCGAAACUGCUUGACUAGAGUAUAGUAGGGGUAAAGGGAAUUUCCAGUGGAGCGGUGAAAUGCGUAGAUAUUGGAAAGAACACCGAUGGUGAAGGCACUUUACUGGGCUAUUACUAACACUGAGAGACGAAAGCUAGGGUAGCAAUGGGAUUAGAUACCCCAGUAGUCCUAGCUGUAAACAAUGGAUACUAGAUGUUG